AGGAACCAAAAUAAUUAUGACAGAAUGAGGAUCACAGUCAUAGAAUAAUAAUGCUUUUACUCCAACAAAUCUAUGUGCAACCAUUUAUGAAAAACAAUAAAAUCCACAUCAGAAUGUUAAAAGUCAAUGCCCUAUUAAGGCAUAAAUGUGACUUUGAAAUUAACCCAGUUAAAUUCUCACAGCCAAGAAACCUUUGAAAUGCAGUUGAAAAAAUUUUCACACAAUUCUCAAAAUAUCAGCUAUUUCAGUAAUAUUACCUAAUCACACAGAUAUUCACAUAACCCAAGUUGGCUUACUUCUUUACAGUCCAAGGUUUCUUAAAAAUAACAUGUAAAGAGUGUAAGUGAUGGAUAAAAUAAUUUCCAGAUAAUGAGCCAAUAUGAGCCACUCUGAAUAAACCCAGUGCUGCACAGUACCCACAGCAUCUGCUUAUAUUGGAAGCCUCAAUCAGAACAUGGUGAUAAAUACCCAUUCUAAGAAUAGCCUUGGUAUGUAGGAACGUGCAUGCUUGUUCUCAUAAGUCAAUGCAGUGUCACAAGCUUUUUAAAGAGGCAGUGAUGCCACUGAACUAAUAUAUGAAUUUGUUAUAAUACAUGACCACAAUCAAUGCUGUUGCAAAAUCAGGUGAACUACAAACAUUUAUCCUACUUCAUGUGUGAUCAUAAAAACAUGAUAACAAAUCGAUAACUUAAUUACUGCUUUCAUCCUCACACCUCUCCCUCCUUUCACAAUCAUAGCAUCACCCCAGUCAUCACCACAAAUGUGUACAUUUCUGGUUUUGUCUGUUAUUUUUUAUGUUCUUACACCCUGGCUGGGUAGCAGUGCACCCUGAAACUGAAUCCCCUAAACAGCGCCACUGCAAAACAUGGGCUCUGACGUUCCUCUUUUCUUCAAUCACAGAGCUGACUAUCUGCCCAGCAUCUCUUAUUCUGCCUGCCCAUUAUGUGGAUGCAACAGGGGAUAGGAAAAGCGUGUCCCCAGCCUGCCAUUACCCGCUUGUGAUUCCUCAUCACCGCCAUCUGCUAUUGUUCAACAGGGUUCGUCUACCACAGGUGAGGAGUGAAUCAUAUUUGCUGGUGUGUGCAGAAGGGGGGGAACUCCAAGCCUGGGAGAGACAUUGUUGUACUGAACUCUCCUGAAUGAACCUGAAGCCUGUUUAUUCCUCGGCCCAGCUCCCGAUCCACUUGCUGCCUGGACACACUCCUCCCUGACUACAUUCAGACAUGCACAUCAUCAAACUGGACUUGUAUUCCACAUCGAAUCCUCUCUGAAUCCAAGGCCAGCCUUGUUUCAAGAACCUCCACAAACCAUGCCCCGGCAUCUCCCACUCACAGACUCCCUAAACAUUGUCCCUCUUCCUACUGCCAGCUAAGUAGAGUUGCUCAUUUCCAAGCUCAUAUCCUUGUUAAUGUUAGCGAUAGCGAUUGUGUGUUUUGGGUCUAGCAGUUUCUGUUUCGCCAUGUCUGAGUGUAGAAGUAGCUUGUACUUUGUGUAAGUACCGGAUUGCGCAUCCCUGAUCAGUUCGGGCCUUUGUACUCGCCCUGUAGAUCUCUGUUCUGGUCAGUAACCCCUGUCCUGUGUGAGCAUUAGCUUUACUGUUAACACUGCGGUGUAGUUUCCUGAAGGCUCUAUGUCAGUUCGAUAAGUUUGUCCUUCUCAGUUCCUGUAGUCAUUUUUUCGCUUCCGAGUGUAGGUCUCAAUUUCCCCUCCAGAGGUUGCUAGAGAUUUUCCUGUUUCUCCUUUCCCCUUUUGUAAAAUAAACUCUUUGAAUUUUAACCCUCGUCUGUUGUGGUCCUGUCUGCACUCGGGUCUUUAAUGUUCUGUGUCACCUUCAGCUGUUUUCAGAUGACAAGAUCAUAUUACUCUCACUUUAGUCCUUCUUUCCAGGCAACAUCUUUGUUUAGAAUUUAUUUCAACAUUAUACAGACAUUCUCAUACUUUUCUGACUGUUCCUAAAUCUUGGAUUAAGGUUGCAACAUUGUCAGAACUUUUACAGACAGCAGCCCACAAGUCAGAAACUAUACUGCCCAUCCACGAAAAAGUCGCACACUCUAAUAUUUUGUUGGACUGCCUUUAAGCAUUAAGAAUGGCACUCAUUUGCUGUGGUAUCAUUCGAUAAGCUUCUACAGUGUCACAGCAUUUAUUUCUGUCCAAAGAUCCAUUCAUUUUUCACCAAGAUCUUAUAUUGAUGAUGGGAGAGUCAAACCGCUGCGCAGUGUCUUCUCCAGCACUUCCCAAAGAUUCUCAGUGGGGCUGAGGUCUGGACUCUGUGGACCUCAAUCUAUGUGUGAAAAUGAUGUCUCAUACUCCCUAAACCACUCAUUCACAAUGUGAGCCCCAUGAAUCCUGGCAUUGUCAUCUUGGAAUAUGCUUGUGCCAUCAGGGAAGAAAAACUCUAUUGAUGGAAAGACCUGGGGCCUCAUUUAUAAAGCUUGCUUACGCACAAAACAUGGCUAGAAAGUUACGUACGCCACUUCCAACGCAAAGGUUGUGAUUUAUAAAAAUAAACUUGGCGUGAGAAUAUGCGCACCGGUGCGCCAACAUUGAUGCUUGCUUACGGACAUUUUGGAGACAGAGGGAACGGCAGUGCCAGACGGUGAGGUGGUGAAUUGAAGCCAGAUUUAUCUCAAACCUUUAUUGUCAUCACAUAUUACACUUGUAGAGCCGGGGUGUUAUGCAGCAUUUACAAUAAGACCGAAAGUACGUUUCAUUUUUUUUUUAAACAAGAUCUUUAAUAGAGGCGGCAAUGUCAGACAGGACCUCACACAUGUUGUUCAUUACUGUGCGUAUUUGCUGGAGCUCAUCCCGCACUUCAUUUAUGGC